rnacentral:rRNA from 1 species
GGGUGGUAAUGCCGGAUGCUCCAUCACAUCGCAUGGUGUGUUGGGAAAGCCUUUGCGGCAUGGGAUGGGGUCGCGUCCUAUCAGCUUGAUGGCGGGGUAACGGCCCACCAUGGCUUCGACGGGUAGCCGGCCUGAGAGGGCGACCGGCCACAUUGGGACUGAGAUACGGCCCAGACUCCUACGGGAGGCAGCAGUGGGGAAUAUUGCACAAUGGGCGCAAGCCUGAUGCAGCGACGCCGCGUGAGGGAUGGAGGCCUUCGGGUUGUAAACCUCUUUUGUUAGGGAGCAAGGCAUUUUGUGUUGAGUGUACCUUUCGAAUAAGCACCGGCUAACUACGUGCCAGCAGCCGCGGUAAUACGUAGGGUGCAAGCGUUAUCCGGAAUUAUUGGGCGUAAAGGGCUCGUAGGCGGUUCGUCGCGUCCGGUGUGAAAGUCCAUCGCUUAACGGUGGAUCCGCGCCGGGUACGGGCGGGCUUGAGUGCGGUAGGGGAGACUGGAAUUCCCGGUGUAACGGUGGAAUGUGUAGAUAUC